CACGUAGGGCGCGAGCGUUGUCCGGAAUUAUUGGGCGUAAAGAGCUCGUAGGCGGCCUGUUGCGUCCGCUGUGAAAGCCCGGGGCUUAACCCCGGGUCUGCAGUGGAUACGGGCAGGCUAGAGGUAGGUAGGGGAGAAUGGAAUUCCCGGUGUAGCGGUGAAAUGCGCAGAUAUCGGGAGGAACACCGGUGGCGAAGGCGGUUCUCUGGGCCGGACCUGACGCUGAGACGCGAAGGCGUGGGGAGCGAACGGG
rnacentral:rRNA from 1 species